ACAAACUUGGUCAUUUAGAGGAAGUAAAAGUCGUAACAAGGUUUCCGUAGGUGAACCUGCGGAAGGAUCAUUAAAGAGUUAGGGUCUUCUAGGCCCGACCUCCCAACCCAAUGUUUACUUAAAACCACUGUUGCUUCGGCGGGCCCGUCUCAGACCGCCGGGGGACUGUCACAGGUCCUCUGGCCCGCGCCCGUCGGUGGCCCAACCUUCAUAAACUCUUUUUAAUUAAACGUGUCCUUGUCUGAGUAAAAUGAAAAAUCAAAAGCAAAAAACUUUCAACAACGGAUCUCUUGGUUCUGGCAUCGAUGAAGAACGCAGC
rnacentral:misc_RNA from 1 species